rnacentral:rRNA from 1 species
GAUGAACGCUGGCGGCGUGCCUAAUACAUGCAAGUCGAGCGAACGGACGAGAAGCUUGCUUCUCUGAUGUUAGCGGCGGACGGGUGAGUAACACGUGGAUAACCUACCUAUAAGACUGGGAUAACUUCGGGAAACGGAGCUAAUACCGGAUGAUAUUUUGAACCGCAUGGUUCAAAAGUGAAAGACGGUCUUGCUGUCACUUAUAGAUGGAUCCGCGCUGCAUUAGCUAGUUGGUAAGGUAACGGCUUACCAAGGCAACGAUGCAUAGCCGACCUGAGAGGGUGAUCGGCCACACUGGAACUGAGACACGGUCCAGACUCCUACGGGAGGCAGCAGUAGGGAAUCUUCCGCAAUGGGCGAAAGCCUGACGGAGCAACGCCGCGUGAGUGAUGAAGGUCUUCGGAUCGUAAAACUCUGUUAUUAGGGAAGAACAUAUGUGUAAGUAACUGUGCACAUCUUGACGGUACCUAAUCAGAAAGCCACGGCUAACUACGUG